rnacentral:rRNA from 1 species
AAUCGUUUGGGCCGACCUCAGAGCA